rnacentral:piRNA from 1 species
UUUGAAGGAAUCGUGUAUCCCACAAGC